rnacentral:rRNA from 1 species
UACGAAGGGGGCUAGCGUUGCUCGGAAUGACUGGGCGUAAAGGGCGCGUAGGCGGCUCACAGAGUCGGACGUGAAAUUCCUGGGCUUAACCUGGGGGCUGCGUUUGAUACCUGUGGACUAGAGUGGGGAAGAGGGUCGUGGAAUUCCCAGUGUAGAGGUGAAAUUCGUAGAUAUUGGGAAGAACACCGGUGGCGUAGGCGGCGACCUGGUCCUUUACUGACGCUGAGGCGCGAAAGCGUGGGGAGCAAACAGG